UCAUCGUCGUACCACGAUCCGUUCUGAUCUAGCGCCUAACGGACGACACCUCCGCGUUCAGUACACGUACAACUCGAUGACGAUCUCUGCCUUCUUGAUCCAGCAAGAGAGACAGGGAACUAGAUGAGUUCUCUGGCAGCGUGACAACGCACCGGUGAUGGUGAUGAUCUAUUCUUGCAAGGCUCCGCCCGAGCUCCGCAGAAAUCCGAUCUAGAGGAAGAACUACGUGGUAUAGGUUUAAGUUGCACAUGGCAAAGUUGUGUCUCAAAAGCCCUAAAACCACCAAUAUAUAUAGGAGGAGGGGAGGGGCUAGCCUUGGGGAUCAAGGGAGCCCCAAGGGCGCCGGCCGAAGGGAGGAGGUGGACUCCCACCCCAAUUCGGUUUGGGGGAAGGAGUUCACUCCUUCCUUCCCACCUCCCUCUUUCGUUUUUAUUUCUUUCCUUUGGUAUUUUCUCCUUGUGGCGCCAUAGCCCACUUGGGCUGGCCUCACCAGCCCACUAAGGGCUGGUGCGCCACCCUAGUGCUAUUGGGCUCAAUACUGGGUGGGUGGGCCCCUCCCGGCGAAUACCUGGAACCCAUUCGUCACUCCUAGUACACUGUCGGUAAUGCCCGAAAUCUUUCCGGUGACCAAAUGAAACCAUCCUAUAUAUCAAUCUUCGUUUCUGGACCAUUCCGUAAACCCUAGUGACGUCCGUGAUCUCAUCCGGGACUCCUAACAACCUUCGAUCACCAACACAUAUAACUCAACUAUACUAAAACGUCACCGAACCUUAAGUGUGCAGACCCUGCGGGUUCGAGAACUAUGCAGACAUGACCUGAGACACUCCUCGGUCAAUAUCCAAUAGCGGGACCUGGAUGUCCAUAUUGGAUCCUACAUAUUCUAUGAAGAUCUUAUCGGUUGAACCUCUGUGCCAAGGAUUCAUAUAAUCC
rnacentral:lncRNA from 1 species